rnacentral:rRNA from 1 species
UACGUAGGUGGCGAGCGUUGUCCGGAAUUACUGGGUGUAAAGGGCGUGUAGGCGGGAAUGCAAGUUGGAUGUGAAAUUACGGGGCUUAACCUCGGGGCUGCAUCCGAAACUGCAUUUCUUGAGUGCUGGAGAGGAAAGGGGAAUUCCUAGUGUAGCGGUGAAAUGCGUAGAUAUUAGGAGGAACACCAGUGGCGAAGGCGGCUUUCUGGACAGUAACUGACGCUGAGGCGCGAAGUCGUGGGGAGCAAACAGG